AAGAGCGAAAGGACGUUCUGGGAGUCCGAGUUGGCGAUCGAAAGAGCCUGGAUGGCGAGCUGCUGCUGAGUCUGCAGAGCCUUCAGGCGGGUCGAU
rnacentral:sRNA from 1 species